rnacentral:rRNA from 1 species
AUUGAACGCUGGCGGCAGGCCUAACACAUGCAAGUCGAGCGGAUGAAGGGAGCUUGCUCCUGGAUUCAGCGGGGGACGGGUGAGUAAUGCAUAGGAAUAUGCCUGGUAGUGGGGGAUAACGUCAGGAAACGGGCGCUAAUACCGCAUACGUCCUGAGGGAGAAAGUGGGGGAUCUUCGGACAUCACGCUAUCAGAUGAGCCUAGGUCGGAUUAGCUAGUUGGUGGGGUAAAGGCCUACCAAGGCGACGAUCCGUAACUGGUCUGAGAGGAUGAUCAGUCACACUGGAACUGAGACACGGUCCAGACUCCUACGGGAGGCAGCAGUGGGGAAUAUUGGACAAUGGGCGAAAGCUUGAUCCAGCCAUGCCGCGUGUGUGAAGAAGGUCUUCGGAUUGUAAAGCUCUUUAAGUUGGGAGGAAGGGCAGUAAGUUUAUACCUUCCUGUUUUGACGGUACCAACAGAAUAAGCACCGGCUAACUUCGUG